rnacentral:rRNA from 1 species
GACGAACGCUGGCGGCGUGCUUAACACAUGCAAGUCGAACGAAGUGGCGAACGGGUGAGUAACGCGUAAUCAACCUGCCCUUCAGAGGGGGACAACAGUUGGAAACGACUGCUAAUACCGCAUACUGAAGGAGGGGAUUGCGUCUGAUUGGCUAGUUGGAGGGGUAACGGCCCACCAAGGCGAUGAUCAGUAGCCGGUUUGUGAGAAUGACCGGCCACAUUGGGACUGGGACACGGCCCAGACUCCUACGGGAGGCAGCAGUGGGAAUUCUUCCGCAAUGGAGGAAGGUCGGACGGAGCAACGCCGCGGGAGUGAUGACGGCCUUCGGGUUGUAAGGCUCUGUUAAUCGGGACGCGGUACCGGAAUAGAAAGCCACGGCUAACUACGUGCCAGCAGCCGCGGUAAUU